CAGAGCUCUGGGUGAUUCAGGUGCUGCAGCCUGCUCUGUGCCCAGCACUGUUCUCAGUGCCCGGCAGCUCUGAGAGCCUCACCCCUGCAGCGCUGGGCACUCAGGACAGCCCCACCUCACACCUCUCAAAGGCUUUUCCAAAUCUCAGCUAACCUCCAGUGAGGUCAAACACUCCCUAAAACAAGCAGCAAAAAGGAAGGAAACAGUUGAGCCUUAGAUAUGCUUCCCAUCUUCUCCCACACACCACCUCAGAUGGGAACUUGCCAGACCCUCAGGAUUAAUACCGAGACUCUCCUGUGGAAAAGCCUAACAUGUUCCAUUGCCAAAGCCCAUCUCAGAAAGUCACAGAAGUAUUUUGCUGUGAUGAAAUAUAAGUACCUGGAGUGCCUGGACAUCGCCUGGAGACAUGGAAUGCAAUGAAAAUACAACCAUAUUGCAUAUAAGCAUUUAAAGAGCUUGCAAGUCAAGUAUCUGCUUCUUGUGAUACACUUAACUUAGUUAGCUAAAACCAAUCAGAAAAUUCAAGCCUAUUUCAAAUACAGAAAAUAAUCACCUGGGCAAUCUGAUUCUGACUUAGGUCCCAGAAACUACAGGACAUGUUCCCUACAGGACAUAUGAAGCAAACUAGAAUGACAUAGUAAAAAUUAUAGUGC
rnacentral:lncRNA from 1 species